ensembl:lincRNA Mirg miRNA containing gene
AGGGAGGGCAGGCUGCCCCAGGCCCUGCCCCCUCCAGGAAGCCUUCUUGCUCCAGCCCAACACACAAUCUCACUUUGUCCUCGGAUGUUCAUCAUGUGAUCUUUUAUCAACGCAACCGUGGCGGGGGCCCUUGCUAACUUGAACCUGUGCUUGCCUACGUGUGGUAAAGCGGAAACACUGUGAACGCUUCUGACCUUGUCUUUUCAAUUUUAGGCAGGUGACAACGCUGAAUUGGUCCUCAGGAGCGGAUGUUCAAGGAACCCUGCCUAUGCUCCAUGCCAGCUGCCAGUCCUAGGUUGGGACAUUCCACUGGGGACAUCCAUGGGAGAGCUAUGGCCAUUAACAAGUCCUGAGCCCUGACCUGAAGCCAUCAGUGGCCUAGGUGAGUGUUUACCCUCAGGAUUUAUACUUAGUUUAUAGCUUGGAGCAGGGGUGGGGUUUUCCCAGGGCACAAGGGGUCCAGAAGUUGUGUAGAAAAUGCACACAACGGGGUUGAAGGCACACGUCCCAGCCCUACACACACACACACACACACACACACACACACACACCACCCCACGCCCCGAUGCCGCCAUCUGCAACAGCUUCGUUUUCUCUAACACUCAAAAAUACAUGGUUCUGCUCCGUUCUCCUUGGCAGGCAGGGUAGCCAGAGCUGUGGGGCUGCCAAGGCCUGGGGGAGCCGCCAGCCUGCAAAGUUUACUGUACAAACAGUUGGGGUGGGGGGUGCCUCUCUGUUAACUCAAAAUCCCCAUCAGUAAACAUGCCAGUUUAAAAGUGUAAUUAACUCAGGCCGGAAAAGAAUUCUGAUUUGGACUGCUUUUCACAGUUGAGAUUGUUUUUCUUUUAUUUAUUUAUCUCUUUCCGGGUGUGGUGGUGUCUGUGGAGGGUUUUAGCCAGGAAAAAUAGAAAUGGGGAGGGCUUGGUGGGAUGAGCCAGUUGGGACUGAGAAUGCUGGCAGGGAGGGGCAAGGGGAGAUGGGCUUGCCACAGGAAGCCUGGGGUCUGAAUCUGGUUUCUGUCCUGGGCGGUGCCUGUGGCUCCUUGAAGAUGGAGGAACUAUGCUAGAAGGUGUGCCAAGGCCACUGACUGAGAGGGACACAGGUAGCUUAGGGAUUAUAGGGUUCUGGGGUGACUCAGAGAACCCCGGGGCUCCCUCUAAUGUCUCCUUGCUUCUGUCUCACCGGCAGCUGCUCUACCUGACUUUGUGGCCUCUCUUCCUGGAUCUCUCGCUUACGACAACCGACAACAAAGAUGUUUGACUCCAGAAGAUGCUCCCCGCGGCCCACCUGAGAGGACUGUCCACACCCCACCCCACUGCGCCCUGUGCCAUCUACCUCUGAGUCCCCAACUCGGUAGCCCCUGCUUCUCACCCAUGUUUCAACUCCCACCCCAGAGCCUUGUAUUCCAGAUCUGAGCAGCCCUUGCUUAGGAACCUGAGGUGGGGGUGGGUAGGCAGACCCAGGGGACUGAGCAGGGAGGGGAAGGAGGGGUUUCUGCUCUUGGCUUUCAAAGUUCUCAGUGUGUGUAGCCCUUUGAAUAAUAAACAUAUGUCAUAUAAUGU